UCUGUGGUGUGUAGUGAUAUGUAGUGUUUGAUUGUGUCAUCAGGGAAUAGAUGAUUGGCCUCAGCUGUAAACAAUACAACAACCAAAUCAUACUGUCUUGCAUUGUAUUUCUCCAUUUAUUUCCAACAGACUGCUGCUUAACCUACGGCUCAGUGAGUCAAACUUCUCUGACGUAUGUGUGUGUAUGUGUGUUGGAUUCCUCAUUAACCGAAGGUCAGAAAUGAUUAAGGCUUCAGGUCACCGUUCCAACCUGAAGUCAGGGGUUAACAGGGUGGUGAGUGCAGGGCCAAUAGAGAGAUGUCGCUGAAUUCAAUUUGCAUGGCAGAGAAAGCCAAGAGCAAUUAACUCUUAACGCAAGCACUGACACACACACACACACACACACACACACACACGAACGUGCCCGGAUACACCUACACAGACAGACGCACGCAAACAUGAGAGAGAGAAAGAGAGAGAGAGAGAGAGAGAGAGGAGAAAGAGACAGAUAGAGAGACAGAGAGACACAGAGACAGAGUAGAGAGAGAGAGAGAGAGAGAGAGAGAGAGAGAGAAAGAGACAGAUAGAGAGACAGAGAGACACAGAGACAGAGAGAGAGAGAGAGAGAGAGAGAGGAGAAAGAGACAGAUAGAGAGACACAGAGACAGAAUAGACACAGAGAGAGAGAGAGAGAGAGAGAGAGAGAGAGAGCCUGGGAGCAGUUACCCAUCAAUGCAAAAUGACAGAAUGGAAGAGCAGGGAGAGUUUGACGUCCGUACAGGUCCCAAGAACGGCGGAAGAGUAACGAAGCUGAGGAGAGAGAGACUGUGUGUUUCAGAGUGUGAGUGCUUCUGUUUGUGUAUGUGGCGUGUUUGUGUUAGUGUGUUUCUGUUUGCAUAAUGUUCUGUGUGUGUGUGUGUGUGUGUGUGUGUGUGUGUGUGUGUGUGUGUAGUGGCGGUCAGAGGUCCAUUAGGUCGGUGCAGUUCAGCGGCUCUCGGUUGUUGGGGGAAACGAAUGCUGGUGGGGUUGAUCUUUGAGCUCAGCUGCACACUAGAACAUUCUGGAAGCCUGACCCGUGAAGACCUGAUGCGCCAGUCAACACCGCGCAAAACGAUCUCUGCCCGCCGUGUGUGUCCUCACUGGAGCACAACACCACAGCCUGGUUGUUUGUGUGAGUGGGUGUUUGACCCAUGAAGAGGUGAUGUGGGAGAGUCACUGUAUGCAAAUCCACCACGGCUGGCUAUGAUGUUCCUCUUAUUUACAUCUCCAUCUCUUUCCAGAAUGUUCAGCCAUUUUGAAUGCGCCCCUGGUUGGUUCCCUUGUCAGUCUGUAACAGUAUGGAUUUGUGUGUAAUGAGCAGUCCUGUCAGCGUGGGGGAUAAUGCCCAGAUUUGAGUUGAAAACAGAAUGUGAUGUGUCUAAUAAUAAUCCUAUUUCAUAUAUCUGUGUUCCACACCGCAGGUGGCCCAGUCUGAACAAGACUG
ensembl:lncRNA